CCGGGCCGACAUUUACCAGAACGAAGGUGCGAUAUCGUGGUGAUCGGUGGGGGAAACCAGACCAUACUGCCUCGGAGGAAGAGGGAAGGAGAGAAGCUGGCUGAUCAGAGUAAAAAAAAUGACAUAGCACACUACCGUUAGCCACAUCAGAUUUUUUUUAACCGCGUUAGUUUUGGAGGACUAAAACCAAAAUUUCCAAAAGAUUGAGGACUAAAUUGUACCUUAUUUUGAAAGAGGGACUAAAACCAAAAAUGCCCAAAAAUUGAGGGACUAAAAACAUAUUUAACCCUUUUAUAAAAUAAAGAAUUUCUAAAACAAUUUUGGAUUAUAUUCUUGUCUUGGAAGACAAUCUCCAUCAAAAAUAGAGAUUUAUUUUAGUAAAUUUUGAAACCAACUAUAAUCUCGCUACCUGCA
rnacentral:lncRNA from 1 species